CCCUAUUAUUAAAGUUGUUAAAUGGAGUAGUAAGAGAAGAGCUUGAAACUUAAGAUGUUUGGCGGUUUCUUAGUCCUGUUAGAGGAAUUUGCUUUUGAAUGGAUGAUCCUCAUAAGAUUUUACUUUUUUGUGUAUGGUUUAAAUAUCGCCGUCGGAAAAUGAAAUUAUUAUGAGAUUUUGUUGUAAUUUAAGAUUUGAAGGACGACAGGUCAAGAUUUAGCUUGUGGAAAAGGAAAAGUGAGUUACAUUAUAAAAUGUGUGGGUUUUGAUAAGAGAAGAAGGAUGAAGGAAAGGAGUAUCUUUGAGAAUGGAUUUAAUUGUAAAAUUUUGAGAUAGUGGAAAUUUGGAUUUGGCUCUAAGGAAUGUACACAUCG
rnacentral:rRNA from 1 species